rnacentral:lncRNA from 10 species
UUGGAGGGCCUCUCUGAGUGGUCCCACUACCCCCAGAUACUGACUCAGAGAACCAGCAUGAGGUUCUACCAUCUCAAAGACCCAUGCUUCCGGUAGUACUGAUGGAGGAAAGAGAAACCAAAUAGAGUGGGGAGAUCAAGCAGCAUGUUUUAUGACCACAAUGGGAAAUGAUGUCCAUUCCUUCUGCCAUUUGCUAGAACUAGUCACAAGGUGCUAAACAUGCUUAAAUCAAGUACCAGACAAAUCUCCCUGAUCAAAGUGCAAAGGUGAGCUGAUGUGUCAGAAGAAGGGGUGAAAUCUGCAGCACUUCUGUUCAACAUGCCCAAGAGGAAAAACAAGCAACAGCGACAGCACCAGAAGAGGAAGAUUCCUCAAGGCAAAACUACAUUUCUCUGGAGUGCCCAAUCCUCUCCAAUGUGACUUGGAUAAUUCUCAAUAAUUUAAGCAACUUGGAGUCCUAAUGUUUUUUGCCAGAGACUAAUUUAGAGUUUGCCAAUGGACUGUCUCUGACCAAUGAAGAAGUGAGGGGUGGUCUCCUGGGAGCUUCUUUGAAAGGUUCCCUCACUUCACAAAGAACAUGAGGAAGAAAUACUUGCUCUUUUGAAUGUUAUGUUCCUGUAUAGGGCACCUAAACUGAUAUUGCCAUGGGCAUCAAUGAAGGACAUUAGGCAAAGGCAAAGACAACAUGUAGAGAAAGAUAGAACUAAAAGGCAGAAGCAACCCACGUUCAAACGUCAUCAUGAAGCCACUGAAUUAGCCUAGUAAUGGACCUCAGUGCUUAACUAUUAUUGAGAUACUUCAUUUUCUUUAUUGUGUAAGCUAAUUUAAGGCAUAUUUUCAGCAUUCUGAAUCUUAAAGCAUCCUAAAUGAUGCAUUAUUAAAUAAAUAUUAUAUUUUUCUCCAGGCCCCGACCCUUCUAUCAUAUAAACAGACAUAUGUAGAUGUGUGUAUAAAAGCAUACACACAAUAGAAAAAGGCUGACAUAUAGAACAGCAUGCCAGCUUAAUAUGUGGCCCUACUAAAUGAUAAGUCUACUAAGAAAAAUCUGUUUUAUUUUAUUUGUCUGGGAUUGGCUAAGAGUCUCAUAUGGUAAAUAUUCUGAAAAAGGCAGUAUUUUCUCUCAAAUGACUUAUAAUCAAGCAAAGAGCAAAAGUGUAUAAACAACUUUCAUGCAAGUCUGUGUGUAGUCUGUAUCUUAGGAGAGGUAUAAGACUGAGAAAGGAAAGAUUGCAAGGGGUGGCUCAUGAUCUCUGACCAAGGAGGCACCAUUUGCAUCACAAACAAUAUGCAUUUAUGUUCCAUUUACUUGGCAUUAUAAUUAGUACCUCUAGUCUAAUAAAAAUGUUGCCCCUUCUUGGGAUGGUCACCAACAUCUAUUUCUUAUUUCCUCUCUGACAUUCAUCUUUCCUGAAGUCCAUUUAAUAUUUGCCAAUUCCAGAAUAGAAAUACCAGCUUUCAUCACCAGACAUUCUUCUUACAUCUAUUGUUUCUUCUUACAGUCUGUUGGCAUAGACUGAG